AAUCCGUGCUGCGGACACUUUUGCAAGAGGUCCUUGAAUCGCUCACAUAUCUCAAACAAGGACUCAAGGUCCAUCUGAACAAAUGAUGAUAUCUCAUUACGAAGCUU